rnacentral:rRNA from 1 species
GCUGGCGGCGUGCCUAACACAUGCAAGUCGAACGAGAAAGUGGAGCAAUCCAUGAGUAAAGUGGCGACCGGGUGAGUAACACGUGACUAACCUACCUCCGAGUGGGGAAUAACUCCGGGAAACCGGGGCUAAUACCGCAUAACAUCGCAAGAUCAAAGCAGCAAUGCGCUUGGAGAGGGGGUCGCGGCUGAUUAGCUAGUUGGCGGGGUAACGGCCCACCAAGGCGAAGAUCGGUAUCCGGCCUGAGAGGGCGCACGGACACACUGGAACUGAAACACGGUCCAGACUCCUACGGGAGGCAGCAGUGGGGAAUUUUGCGCAAUGGGGGAAACCCUGACGCAGCAACGCCGCGUGGAGGAUGAAGCCCCUUGGGGCGUAAACUCCUUUCGACCAAGACGAUAAUGACGGUACUGGUGGAAGAAGCACCGGCUAACUCUGUGCCAGCAGCCCGCGGUAAUACAGAGGGUGCGAGCGUUGUUCGGAAUUAUUGGGCGUAAAGGGCGCGUAGGCGGUGCCACAAGUCACUUGUGAAAUCUCCGGGC